rnacentral:rRNA from 1 species
UAGGGAAGUCUUCCACAAUGGACGCAAGUCUGAUGGAGCAACGCCGCGUGAGUGAAGAAGAUCUUCGGAUCGUAAAACUCUGUUGUUAGAGAAGAACACGAGUGAGAGUAACUGUUCAUUCGAUGACGGUAUCUAACCAGCAAGUCACGGCUAACUACGUGCCAG